rnacentral:rRNA from 1 species
UACAGAGGUCCCAAGCGUUGUUCGGAUUCACUGGGCGUAAAGGGUGCGUAGGCGGUCGGGUAAGUCUGAUGUGAAAUCUCACAGCUUAACUGUGAAACUGCAUUGGAUACUAUCCGGCUAGAGGAAUGGAGGGGAGACUGGAAUACUUGGUGUAGCAGUGAAAUGCGUAGAUAUCAAGAGGAACACCUGUGGCGAAAGCGGCUCACUGGACCAUAACUGACGCUGAUGCACGAAAGCUAGGGGAGCAAACAGG